rnacentral:snRNA from 13 species
AUACUUACCUGGCAGGGGAGAUACCAUAAUUAUGAAGGUCCUGACCCCUGCAAUUUCCCCAAAUGUAGGAAACUCAACUGCAUAAUUUGUGGUAGUGGGGGACUAAGUGUGUGCUUUCCCCUG